CCCAAAAAGUCCAAGCCAAAUAAAUGGAGAUGGAAAAAAGAGAUAACAUGUUUCAAUCAAUUUUUUACCUUAUGGAGAAACUGGGAAGUGGGUUUUGAUGAUCUGGGUUUGGUAGAUCUGGCUGUAGUAGCUCAGGAGAUGGCAGCAAAGGCUUUGAAGGAAGAGAAGUGGAAGAGGAAGAAGGAGAAGAGGGAGUUGUUGUGGUUGUGGGGGUCGUCAGAUCAUGAGAAGCAGAAGGGGAAAACUGGGAAGAAGAGACAUGAUGAGUAGUGGGAUCUGGUGGAGGGUUUUCAAUGGAUAAUAACAUCUGAUGUCAAGCUUCUCUCUUCUUGUGCUGCUGUUGCUACAACAGUCACAAGCUGCAGCAGCUGCUUCUUCUUCUU
rnacentral:lncRNA from 1 species